UUCUCUUCGAUCUUCCUCUUUCUCUCAUCCUCCAACUUCUCUCUCAUCCUCUAUUCUUUUUCCUCCCGCAACUUGCUGCCGCUUGGAACUCGCAAGUUACGCCUUGCCUUGCUGUCACGGGCUGCUUGCCUCCGACUACGUUUGAUGCUCUGUCGGUUCGGUGUUUAGUGCUGUCUCUCCUCCUAAUAAAGUGAGAUGAAUGGGACUCCCUUGAGGGGUGAUAAGGACAAAUGCUCAAAUGAAUUUCAUGAAAUUUGAUCCCUAGACCUCAAGGAUAUGAGGUGGGGAACGAUGCCACGACUCCACUACCUUAACCUCUUUUUGUGUAGUUCUUUAUGCGUAACAGUGAAGUGAUUGUAUUUGUGGUUUGUGGAUUCUUUGUGCUUAUUCUAUUGCAUUUGAAUGCUACUAAUGAUUGAUGGUUUGUGUAAUGAUAAGAUGAUCUUGUUAA